UGGUAGUGAUGUCGGUGAAAACAGUGGCAGUGAUGUAGGUGAAAACAGUGGUAGUGAUGUAGGUGAAAACAGUGGUAGUGAUGUAGGUGAAAACAGUGGUAGUGAUGUAGGUGAAAACAGUGGUAGUGAUGUAGGUGAAAACAGUAGCAGUGAUGUAGGUGAAAACAGUGGCAGUGAUGUAGGUGAAAACAGUGGUAGUGAUGUAGGUGAAAACAGUGGCAGUGAUGUAGGUGAAAACAGUGGUAGUGAUGUAGGUGAAAACAGUGGCAGUGAUGUAGGUGAAAACAGUGGUAGUGAUGUAGGUGAAAACAGUGGCAGUGAUGUAGGUGAAAACAGUGGUAGUGAUGUAGGUGAAAACAGUGGCAGUGAUGUAGGUGAAAACAGUGGUAGUGAUGUAGGUGAAAACAGUGGCAGUGAUGUAGGUGAAAACAGUGGUAGUGAUGUAGGUGAAAACAGUGGUAGUGAUGUAGGUGAAAACAGUGGUAGUGAUGUAGGUGAAAACAGUAGUAGUGAUAGCCAUAGAGAAGGAGCAGCUUCCAACAAAGAAAGUAUUGAUAAAAAGGGUUCAACUGUUUCAGUAAUUUGGAAGUGGUUUGGCUUUUUGAAGUCCGACAAAGAGCAGAGCAAUGUUCGGUGCAAAUUGUGACGUAGACAGGUGGCUACCAAGUCUGGUAAUAAGACAAACCUUUUUCAACAUCUGUCGCAAAAUCACUCUUUGGAACAUGCAGGAAGUUUGAGUUUGCACCACGGUAUUGAUAAACGCCCCUCAAGCACCAGACAAUUUAGGGACGUUUGCCCGAAGCAGUCAACACUGACAGCGUUUAUGCCCUACAAGCAAACAUCGAAAAGACAAAGACAUCACAAAUGCUAUUAUGCAUUGCAUUGCUAAGGACAUGCUACCAAUUAGUACAGUCAAAAAGGAAGGUUUCAA